GUUAAGGCAAGCGCCAGACGGAAAGUCAUUAUGGUACCACUACCUGCUGGAGUAUACUUGAAGGAUCAGAAUGCAGAACCAGAACUUAAGAUAGCAAGUACAUCCUCCUCGCCAGUCUUGGAUCCACAUAUUUCACCUGAUGGUACCAGGCUUGCAUAUGUGAGAGAUAAUGAGUUGCAUGUGUUAAACCUUUUGUACCAUGAAUCAAAGA
rnacentral:misc_RNA from 1 species